CCAGCUGGGUUUCCUGUGAGCUUCCAUCGAAGUUCGCUUGACAAGCCCAUAGGUUCCAAGAGAUGGGACCAUAUAAGGACAAAGGUGGCUAUCAUUGAUUUCAGAUUCAACAUUACACAUCAAACAUAUGUUCGAUAGAGGCAUACCAUUUUUUCUGGGCUGCUCCACUGUUAGCAGUUUGUCCGUUACUGCUAUGCAGGCAAAGGUUUGGGUUUUAUAAGGUGUCAGGCAUCACCAUACCUUCUAAAUUGUAUCAGCAUUUUGUAUCAUCCUAUUACAGGUAGGAUUGUCUAUACAAUGAGCUUACUGAGAAGGUCUUGGAAGAGAUGCAAUUUUGGUGUGAUUUCUCACACUAUGUUUGUCAUUUUGUUAGGGGUGCUAGUAGUAUUGGUUCAAGCUACUCAAGAAUCAGGUGAUUUGGCCUUGAGAUGUGAUCCGCAUGCCCAUGCCCUCUUGAGUCACCUUGAGAUGUGAUCCACAUGCCCCCUUGAGCUUGAGUUGAUGGCGGUUGGUGCCCACAAGUACUUCCAUUUACUGAGGCACUUGACGAUCAUGCACUCUGGUAUAGACCAAGGAAUUGAUUUUUGGAAGUGGUUCCCCAACCAUUUAUGAGACCAAAAGCUAAUCCUGAUUCCAAUCACCUUUUCCCACCGUCAUUCUACCAUGACUCAUGAACAAUGGCCUACAAUAAUUUAUCCCUUUCUUCACUGUCACAGGGGGAUUUUAAGCUCUUAAUUGUCAUGCCAACGUCGUCAACACCAGACUUGAAAGCACUUGGCUUUGUGGUACAGCGCCAUCACCAUUGAAUGAGUAACGCUUUAUUUAUGAGUCAAAGUCCCCAAUAUUUUCGGUGCAAAUACUGUAUCUUAGUUUACCAAAUGAAAUUUACUCGUCUUUUGCUUUACUUCAUGAGAAUUUCUUCAUCAUACCUUUG
rnacentral:lncRNA from 1 species